rnacentral:rRNA from 1 species
AUUGAACGCUGGCGGCAUGCUUUACACAUGCAAGUCGAACGGCAGCGCGGGCUUCGGCCUGGCGGCGAGUGGCGAACGGGUGAGUAAUACAUCGGAACGUGCCCAGUAGUGGGGGAUAGCUCGGCGAAAGCCGGAUUAUUACCGCAUACGACCUGAGGGUGAAAGCGGGGGAUCUUCGGACCUCGCGCUAUUGGAGCGGCCGAUGGCAGAUUAGCUAGUUGGUGGGGUAAAGGCCUACCAAGGCGACGAUCUGUAGCUGGUCUGAGAGGACGACCAGCCACACUGGGACUGAGACACGGCCCAGACUCCUACGGGAGGCAGCAGUGGGGAAUUUUGGACAAUGGGCGAAAGCCUGAUCCAGCAAUGCCGCGUGUGUGAUGAAGGCCUUCGGGUUGUAAAGCACUUUUGGCGGGAACGAAAAGGACUGUGCCAAUACCACGGUUCGAUGACGGUACCCGCAGAAUAAGCACCGGCUAACUACGUG